AAGUCUAAAGUUAAGGUAAACUUCGUCAUACGUCGUGAGAUGUUUACAAAUUUAUUGGGUUAUCAUGAUUGUUGACGAGAUUGUGGGUUAAGGUUAGCGCUAUAAUCUAGCCCUGUUACCGCUAGCUACGAGAACGUAGUUAAAAACGUUGAGAUAUACUGAUGCGAAACACGGUCCACGGAGGGUUGAGAGAUUAAGAUGGAAAUGAUGUUUACAGUCAUCUUUCAUGGAAACAAGACCAGCUACCUGUAAAUUAAAUAUAUAUAUAUUAGAUAAGAUUUUGAAAUAUAUGAAUCAAACAUCUUAAUCUGGGCUGAAAAGAAAAGGGACAUAUAUCAGAACAAAUCUUGUCUUUCAGAGAUAGCUGUUCCCAUGAUCUUGGCUACUGAUUUAAAUGACUAAAAAGGAUAAAAUGAGAUUUAUAAUAAUCUUACCAUAUGAAUGUAGAUGAAUAAACUAUAACAGAUAAUAACAAUUAUGGAUGUAGAUAUCCAAUGAUAACCUUGUAACAAAUGAUAUAA